GCUAAGCGGGGGGGUGUUUUCAUUUUCAUCCUUAACACAUACAUUUUAAACCACAAACUACGGAGUAUGUUUUGGACAUUAUUUAACCUUGUCAAACACGAACAACAUUUUUAGAAAAACAUCAUUUAUUAAUCCAAGUUUUAGGAGUGCUGAAGCACCCCAAUUAAGGGGCUAGACUCGCCCUUGUAUACCACACAAGUAUAGCCCGAACCUUGUGCUGUGUUCGCGUCAUUUUAAUGACGAUUGCUUUACGAACAUGAAUGCUUUCAAGUGUGGAUUCGCGAGCCGGUUGAUACUGAAGGAAGGUUUAGUACCAAGUUUAUUUGGAUCAGCUUCCUCCUCCGAAUCACAACCUCGGUGAUGGGCGUUCCGUUUCCGACAAUCUCUGCACAAAGUAUACCAAUCACAACUGACUGGGUCAUCUGACCAAUCACCGCAGAUUAGCGUCACGCAAAGGAGGGGUUUGGAAAAAUGAGUCGUUGAACGAAUCAUUUGGGAGUCGGUGAGCAAAUCAGGAUGCAAGCACAUUCAGACAGCAAAUCAGCAAUGUUACAAAAAAGGACAUAUCCCUCUGGUGCAGAGAAAAGGAAAAAGAAUAAAACAGAGGAAGAGAUAAACAGCGAGAUAAAGGUCCAUCCUCUGCAGGCGAGGAGCGCUUCCCAGCACGUGCAUCCACUGAUGUUGUCAUCUAUCCUGUCUGACUCCGAAAGGACUGAUCUGGCCAUGUGUCGCACAUCAGACCCUGUGGAGUGGAGUAGCAAUAAUCCAUGACAGCGGAAGUCUUGUUCCCUUCUCUCAUCCAUUCACGCAUGAUAAACUGCCAAAUGUGCACAUCUUCUCCAAGAACACAGUUCAAGACUGAGAAAUAGAUCCCAGUGGGACUUGCUGAUCAUAUACAGAAGGCUGUGGUACCAUCAUGCCUGUCCAUUUUAUGCUUUGCUAUAUGUGUAUCAAUCUGAUAUAAUUUCUCAAAGGUGCUGUUAUCAUUCUAUUGCUGGGUUUUAUUACAGUAUGGCCACAGAAGCUGGAGAAAGCAGUGAAGCCUUUGUAUCACUGUAAUGAGAGGUGGCAUGUGUUUCUUUUCCUUUAAGUAGUGAAUGAGUAGUGAACAAAAACAGUGAGGAUUGUUUGCAGGUGUACAUUUAGCUUGGAAUUCAAUGUACUCUCUUAACUCUUCAUUUUUUGUAACACUCCACAUUUGCUCAUUUGGUUUUAAUUAAAU